CUACGGGCGGCAGCAGUGGGGAAUAUUGGACAAUGGGGGAAACCCUGAUCCAGCAAUGCCGCGUGUGUGAAGAAGGCCUGCGGGUUGUAAAGCACUUUCGGUUGGGAGGACUGCUUCUAGCACUAAUAUUGUUGGAAGUUGACGUUACCUUCAGAAGAAGCACCGGCUAACUCCGUGCCAGCAGCCGCGGUAAUACGGGAGGGUGCAGGCGUUAAUCGGAAUUACUGGGCGUAAAGCGCGCGUAGGCGGCUAGAUCAGUCGGGUGUGAAAGCCCCGGGCUUAACCUGGGAACUGCAUCCGAUACUGUCUAGCUUGAGUACAGGAGAGGAGAGUGGAAUUCCACAUGUAGCGGUGAAAUGCGUAGAUAUGUGGAGGAACACCAAUGGCGAAGGCAGCUCUCUGGCCUGAUACUGACGCUGAGGUGCGAAAGCGUGGGGAGCAAACAGGAUUAGAUACCCGCGUAGUC
rnacentral:rRNA from 1 species